AGGCAGGCUUUGUAAGCUGGUGCCAUCCGCACAGUUCUACUACAUGGAUGCCUUCAUUCUACUGUCCUCUGGCCAGGAACUCCAGCUGCUGAGGUACCAUGUGGACCCCGUCAGAGAUGAGAUAAAAAGGUAUAAGCCCAGGAGCAGGUACGAGUGUGUCUUCAGGCUGUCCACCAAGGGGGCCACCGAGGUGACCAGCUUGUCAGCGGUGAACGACUUCUAUUCCCGUAUCCUUGUCUGGCUCUUCCAGCUGCCAGUCAGUGAGCUCUGAUGUCUGGUGCUGUGCGGGGCACAGGGUGCUCGUGGCCAUUCUCAGGGCACUGACGCUCUUGGCAGCGACUGGACGGUGAUGUUUCCUCUCCGUGUGGGGGCUUUCAAGGGGGCAGCUCUCAGGACAGGUCCUGGAGCAGACCAGGCCCUCAUAGGGAGGGCUGCGAGACCCCCAGCCGCUGCUCCCGCAGAGUACACCGUCGAGUCCAACUUCAAUUCGGGCUUUGUAUGGGUAAUGUCGUCACUUUUAAUCAAAAAAACUGGUUUUAUUUCACUUAGAAUCAGAUCUCCUGAGGUGUAAAGGCUUUAGUUCAUUCAGACACGGGCACGUUUGGGUUCUGCUGAGGGUUUCCAGGUGCGCUUCCUUCCCCAGGCCUGGAGGAGACGUUGUGAGGUACUGCGGGAAUGCGGUGAAGCUGGAGUGUGGGGUUUUUGCACUGGGUCCUGUGAAAGGGGAAGAGAGAGCCCCUGGCAGCAGGGGUCUCCGCGGCUCGUACCUCACCUGUGCCGUCUGCGCAUGCCGGCCUGGGCCUGUGCUUCUGCCUUGCGUGUCUGCCAUAGUACUCGGGGCGAGACGCUGGGGAGUGUGGGUGGUCACUCGAUCCCUGUAUGCACACAUUGCCCCUCGCCUGUCCACUCAGACAGCGCCUGUGCUCUCUGGAUGUGUGGGUCUUGGGCUACUGUUGUGACCACCUGCAGCCUGCUCCAGGUGCUGCCCCCCACAUGGCUGUGCCCCGCAGUGGUCUCAUCUGGUCUGUAUUCAGACUGCCAACAUUUCCACCACUCCCUGAUCUGGACAUUUCCUGGACACGUCCAUCAGUAUGGCUAGAGGUAGAACCGAGGCCUCCUGCAGGAUGUGCUCCUCUGCCGUCUCCACCUCCCAGCAGCACCCCUCUGCUCCUGUGGACAUCCGGGGCCAGCCGAGUGGGCUGUGCUGGGAGGACUUCCCUGUGGAGCUGCGGAGUUCUGGGCCAGUCAGUCAGCUGAGCAGAGCUGCGCCUCCCCAGAACCUGAGCCCUGGGGGUGGACAGAGCCGUGCCUCCCUGUGGGCAAGGCCGCCGGGCAGGCUCCCUAACUCAGCUGCUGCAGAUGUGGUCCUCACAGCUGGCCGCAACAGGACUUUGCAAGUUUUCGACCUCAACACCGGCUGCAGUGCUGCAGUGAUAGCAGAAGCCCAUUCACGGCCUGUCCAUCAGAUCUGUCAGAAUAAAGUAAGUUCUGGACACACAUGUGACGGUUGGGAUCUUCAGUGUCCCCUGAAAAGCCUGUGUUGGAAGCAUGCUCCUCAGUACAGCAAGACUCAGAGGUGGGUCUUUUAGGCAGUGGUGACUGGGGACAGUGAGCUCAUCGUGAGCGGCCACUUGGUGGAUUAAUGAUUUGAAUGGACUUGGACUGCAGGGUGGUCGCUAUAGCCAGGUGGGGCGUGGCCUGAGGAGGUGGGGCCCUAGGGCUGUGCCCUGGGCCACAUCUGUCCCUGGUUCCUGUCCAUCUCCUGGCGGCCAGGCUGACAGCUUUCCUCCACCAAGCCUCCCCAUGGUGUUUCUGCCUCACUUCAGGCAAGAAAAAUGGGCUGUUUGAACACGAACCGAAUCUUUGAAUCCAUGAGCCCAACAAACGUUUCCUUUUCUGAGUUGUUCUCCUCAGGGUUACUGAUCUCAACGAGGAGAAGCUGAAGAACACAGUACGUUGUUUGUAACAUUAGGAGCUUUGAGUUUUUAAUAAACAAAGUAUCAGGAUGUAAUUUCGGAACUGC